UUGUCUGCUUUUCAUAUCUUUACUGAACUAAAUCAACUUCUUUGAUUCCAGAACUGAUGAGUUAAUUAAGAAAAAAGUCCGUGAGAAAUUUGCCCAGUCCAUUGUGUUAACCAUCACAAACAGGUUGAGAACUGUUAUUGACAGCGAAUCUGUAAUGGUUUUGGAUUCAGGAAGACGGGUAGAAUUCAGUCGGCCGUAUAAGUUGCUGCAAAAUAGAAACAGCCUAUUUUACAAGAUGGUGCAACACCUGGGGGAGGCCGAGGCCGCUGCCCUCACUGAGACAGCAACACAGGUGAGCUCCAAGCAGAGAAUUGUAAUUAAAGUUCAUUUCCCUGGUUCACUCUUCAGGAUCUCCAUGAGGGGUCUGGUAACAAGCGCUCUGUGCCCUUUGCAAUUAUGAGCCUCCAGAGACGAAGCUUCAUGGCUGGGCCUUAACAACAAGGUGCAGGUUGAAGGCAGGUCUGCCAAGAAUCUGCAGAAGAGGUGUGGGUGGGGCAGGAUGUGUGUGUGCUCACAUGUGCAUGCACAUGUGCAUAAGAGAGAGAUUGUAGGUUAGACUUUCCAUGACUUUGGACUCUGUGGGUUCAGAUUCCCACACAGCACAGAUCACUCUCAUUCUGCAGACCCUUUACAUCUUAUCCUGAUUGGUCCUCAGCCCAUUUGUGAUGCAAGUGCUGUCAGGGAACAUCCAAGAAAUUUGAGAGUUUGAGGGGAAAAUCUGGACUAUUUCGGGUCUAAAGAUCUACCAGGGAAAGAUGUAGGUUGCUUCUGUUUUCUAAUUUGUAAAGAAAACUCCAACAUGAUACUAAGUCUCCCUACUUCUUUGCUGUUUAGAAUUAGGUCACGUUGCCUCCCUGAGCUUCCUCUACCUUCUAGAAGGUGCAGUUGUCAUGAGGACACAUCAGGAAUUCACACAACCUUAACACUGUAGUCUGAAUGGGAACAUCAGGAAUUCACACAACCUUAACACUGUAGUCUGAAUGGGGCUUGGGGGUUUAACAAAGCCUUUGCACAGAGCUGAGGGGUGUGGGAGCUCUAAGCCCUGUAGGCGGUGUGAGGAAGGUGCUCCACAAGUAACACUCAGGCCACGUGGUGUCGCUCUAACAGAGGGGAGGUGGUGGUAUCUUGUCCUACAGAUGUGAUAACUCAGAUCUGACUUCAGAGACUUAGCCAUUUCCAUGAAGCUGCCUGUAGUUCUAUCCAGACCCAGGUGAGAGUGGGGUUGAUGGAAGGAUGGAGGGAGGGAAGGAGGGUCUGGUGUCCUUGCCCCUUGAGACGCGUGGCUCAGGUAGGAGGAGGUUCGAAGUGGAUGUGAUGGGGCUUCUCAUCCAAACAUUAUCUCUGGGCCUUAAAUGAUGGGAGCAUUUUUCCUUCUCCAUACUUUUCUGCAUUUCCCAGAUUUUCACUAGUAAGCAGAAUAAAUUACUUGUGUAAUAUUUAAAAUAUCUCUUA
rnacentral:lncRNA from 1 species